rnacentral:rRNA from 1 species
UACGGGGGGGGCAAGCGUUGUUCGGAAUUACUGGGCGUAAAGGGCUCGUAGGUGGCCAACUAAGUCAGACGUGAAAUCCCCAGGCUCAACCUGGGAACUGCGUCCGAUACUGGAUGGCUUGAAUUCGGGAGAGGGAUGCAGAAUUCCAGGUGUAGCGGUGAAAUGCGUAGAUAUCUGGAGGAAUACCGGUGGCGAAGGCGGCAUCCUGGACCGACAUUGACGCUGAUGAGCGAAAGCCAGGGGAGCAAACGGG